rnacentral:rRNA from 1 species
AUACGUAGGUGACAAGCGUUAUCCGGAUUUACUGGGCGUAAAGGGCGUGUAGGCGGUCUUGCAAGUCAGAAGUGAAAUUCCUGAGCUCAACUCGGGCGCUGCUUCUGAAACUGCAGGACUUGAGUGCUGGAGGGGAUAGCGGAAUUCCUAGUGGAGCGGUAAAAUGCGCAGAUAUUAGGAAGAACACCGGUGGCGAAGGCGGCUAUCUGGACAUUAACUGACGCUGGGGCGCGAAAGCGUGGGGAGCAAACAGGAUUAGAUACCCUGGUGGUCCACGCCGUAAACGAUGAAUACUAGGUGUAGGGGGUAUCGACUCCCUCUGUGCCGCAGUUAACACAAUAAGUAUUCCGCCUGGGGAGUACGGCCGCAAGGUUGAAACUCAAAUGAAUUGACGGGG